rnacentral:tRNA from 1 species
AUUUAAAUAGUUUAUAAAAAAAAUUUUGGUUUGUGAUAUCAAAGAAAAUAAUUCUUAUUUUUAAAUU